GUGUCCGAAGCCACGAUGCGCUCGAGGCGCAUCGUAACCAAAACGUUGUCGACGCAUAUACCUUUAUAUAACCGCCUCGUCCCUCCCGUCCAUGUCGGCCUUUCCACCGUCAUCGGCGAGCGAGAAUAAAUAGAGUAGGCAAUGGCAGAGGCGGCAACCGAGAACGGGGUGAGGAAGGCGACGUCCCUGGGGGAGGAGCACCCGGGCAAGGCGUUCGGGUGGGCGGCGAGGGACGCUUCCGGACUCUUCUCUCCCUUCGCCUUCUCCCGGAGGUCUACUAGGACAUGACUGCCCCGCUCUCCCAUUAUUUCAUAUAUACGGGCCAUAACUCGUAUUUAACAGAUCAAGGAAAAAGAGCAUGAAGGGCAAAAAGUAGAUGGGAAGCAUGGAGUGAAGAAGCUUCAGACCAUGAAGCCAUAACUAAUGAUGUCGGUACCAAUUUCUUUGUUUCCUUAGUAGUUUCUGCAGUGUGAAAUUCAAAUAUGCAUCUUAUUCACUGACAAAUUCAGCAUGAACUGCAUGAACUAAAUGAACAUUAUCAAGAAGAAGAUCCUGAGGAGGGCGAUGGAAAACCACCAAUGGAAUACAAGCGUCUAAUAGCAAUCGCAGCAAAGAAAAUGCUCAUAAAUCCAUAAAGUUAUGGCUAAGUGAACUAGCACUUAGCCUAAGUGAACUAUCACUUAGAAAGCUGUAUCAUUCUACCAAUAUGUUUAAUAAGAAUUAGAUAACGAUGAGAUUAUGAUAAUAAGAUCAAUUUAUCUUCAAACAUAAAUUCUAAAUAAUCUCGAUUUCACUUAGUCUAAGUGAACUAUCACUUGAGAAAGCUGUAUCAUUCUAUUAAUAUACGCAAUGCGAAUCGGAUCAUAAUGAGAUUAUGAUAAUGAGAUUAAUUUAUAUUUAAAUAUAAAUUCUAAAUAAUCUCGAUCAUAGGUUAUUCGAUAAAGAUAUCGAGAUAACCAGAUAGAUUGGUGUAUUGUAUAUCCAUCUAUAUGAUUGAGGUGGUUGGUCUAAUAAUUGUUCGUGAGAGGACAUUAGGAUAUAGUGAUGUGCUUAUUGGAGAAUGAAUUCAUUAAUCUGCUCACGGAGUGUUGGAUAGUUAAUGAUAUCUCAUUGUCAGAUAGUAAUUUGGUUAUCUCAGUUAUGUAUUUGGUCCUAGACUUAAGAUACCAAUGAUGUUUUGUAUGAGUACCGAUAUCAGAUUUAUAAAACUCGAAGUUCCAAAUCUAACAUAGUUGAUCAUUG